GACGAACGCUGGCGGCGUGCCUAAUACAUGCAAGUUGAGCGCUGAAGGUUGGUACUUGUACCAACUGGAUGAGCAGCGAACGGGCGAGUAACGCGUGGGGAAUCUGCCCUUGAGCGGGGGACAACAUUUGGAAACGAAUGCUAAUACCGCAUAAAAACUUUAAACACAAGUUUUAAGUUUGAAAGAUGCAAUUGCAUCACUCAAAGAUGAUCCCGCGUUGUAUUAGCUAGUUGGUGAGGUAAAGGCUCACCAAGGCGAUGAUACAUAGCCGACCUGAGAGGGGGAUCGGCCACAUUGGGACUGAGACACGGCCCAAACUCCUACGGGAGGCAGCAGUAGGGAAUCUUCGGCAAUGGACGAAAGUCUGACCGAGCAACGCCGCGUGAGUGAAGAAGGUUUUCGGAUCGUAAAACUCUGUUGGUAGAGAAGAACGUUGGUGAGAGUGGAAAGCUCAUCAAGUGACGGUAACUACCCAGAAAGGGACGGCUAACUACGUG
rnacentral:rRNA from 1 species